rnacentral:rRNA from 1 species
CCUACGGGUGGCUGCAGUAGGGAAUUUUGCACAAUGGGCGAAAGCCUGACGCAGCAACACAGCGUGAAUGUUAAGCGCUUCGGGGUGUAAAGUUCUGUCAAUAGGGACGAAUUAUGACUGUACCUAUAAAGGAAGCACCGGCUAACUACGUGCCAGCAGCCGCGGUUAUACGUAGGGGGCAAGCGUUAUCCGGAUUUACUGGGUGUAAAGGGAGCGUAGACGGCAGGGCAAGUCUGGAGUGAAAGGCGGGGGCUCAACCCCCGGACUGCUCUUGAAACUGCCAGGCUGGAGUGCAGGAGAGGUAAGUGGAAUUCCUAGUGUAGCGGUGAAAUGCGUAGAUAUUAGGAGGAACACCAGUGGCGAAGGCGGCUUACUGGACUGUAACUGACGUUGAGGCUCGAAAGCGUGGGGAGCAAACAGGAUUAGAUACCCUGGUAGUC